GAUUUGUCUGGUUAAUUCCGAUAACGAACGAGACCUUAACCUGCUAAAUAGUUACGCAUAACUUCGGUUACGCGGGCAACUUCUUAGAGGGCCUUUGUAUGUCUAAUGCAAGGAAGUUUGGGGCAAUAACAGGUCUGUGAUGCCCUUAGAUGUUCUGGGCUGCACGCGCGCUACACUGWUGCACUCAACGAGUUUACGACCUUGUCCGUUAGGAUCGGGUAAUCUUUUUAAAAUGCAUCGUGAUGGGGAUAGAUUAUUGCAAUUAUUAAUCUUCAACGAGGAAUUCCUAGUAAGCGCGAGUCAUCAGCUCGUGCUGAUUACGUCCCUGCCCUUUGUACACACCGCCCGUCGCUCCUACCGAUUUAGUGAUCCGGUGAAUAAUUCGGACUGCAGCAUAUUUUUGGAUCCCGAACGUUGCAGUGGAAAGUUUAGUGAACCUUAUCACUUAGAGGAAGGAGAAGUCGUAACAAGGUUUCCGUAGUGAAACCUGCAGAAGGAUCA
rnacentral:rRNA from 1 species